UUGGCUGUUGUCGUUUGUGGAAAACCUGCUGUGACAACCAAAUCAGGCAUAAACACAUGUUUGGUUGAUUGGAUGUAAAUUUGUGACUCUGGUUGUGUUAACAACAUUGAAUAAAGGAGAAAGAAAGGAGAAACAAGAAAACCCUAUGAGGGAGGUUCGAAUUAGAAAGUUAUGUCUUAAUAUCUGUGUAGGUGAAUCUGGUGACAGAUUAACUCGAGCAGCAAAAAUUUUUGUUUAUUGAAGGUGAGUGAGAUCAUUAAUAUUUUUUGGUUAAGUCU